UACGUAGGGUGCAAGCGUUAAUCGGAAUUACUGGGCGUAAAGCGUGCGCAGGCGGUUAUGUAAGACAGAUGUGAAAUCCCCGGGCUCAACCUGGGAACUGCAUUUGUGACUGCAUAGCUAGAGUACGGUAGAGGGGGAUGGAAUUCCGCGUGUAGCAGUGAAAUGCGUAGAUAUCUGGAGGAACACCGGUGGCGAAGGCGGCGUCCUGGACCAACACUGACACUGAGGAGCGAAAGCCAGGGGAGCAAACGGG
rnacentral:rRNA from 1 species